CCUACGGGUGGCAGCAGUGAGGAAUAUUGGUCAAUGGGCGAGAGCCUGAACCAGCCAAGUCGCGUGAAGGAUGACGGCCCUACGGGUUGUAAACUUCUUUUGUCAGGGAGCAAUUGGGUCCACGCGUGGGCUUAGCUAGAGUACCUGAAAAAAAAGCAUCGGCUAAGUCCGGCCCAGCAGCCGCGGUAAUACGGAGGAUGCGAGCGUUAUCCGGUUUUAUUGGGUUUAAGGGGUGCGUAGGCGGAAUAUCAAGUCAGCGGUAAAAAUUCGGGGCUCAACCCCGUCGUGCCGUUGAAACUGAUGUUCUUGAGUGGGCGAGAAGUAUGCGGAAUGCGUGGUGUAGCGGUGAAAUGCAUAGAUAUCACGCAGAACUCCGAUUGCGAAGGCAGCAUACCGGCGCCCAACUGACGCUGAAGCACGAAAGCGCGGGUAUCGAACAGGAUUAGAUACCCCAGUAGUC
rnacentral:rRNA from 1 species